rnacentral:tRNA from 1 species
GCGCCUGUAGCUCAGCCGGCAGCAGCGCACGGUCGAUAACCGUGAGGUCGCAGGUUCGAAUCCUGCCAGGCGCA